AGUGAACGCUGGCGGUAGGCCUAACGCAUGCAAGUCGAACGGUAGCACAGUAAGAGCUUGCUCUUACGGGUGGCGAGUGGCGGACGGGUGAGGAAUACAUCGGAAUCUACUUUUUCGUGGGGGAUAACGUAGGGAAACUUACGCUAAUACCGCAUACGACCUACGGGUGAAAGCAGGGGAUCUUCGGACCUUGCGCGAUUGAAUGAGCCGAUGUCGGAUUAGCUAGUUGGCGGGGUAAAGGCCCACCAAGGCGACGAUCCGUAGCUGGUCUGAGAGGAUGGUCAGCCACACUGGAACUGAGACACGGUCCAGACUCCUACGGGAGGCAGCAGUGGGGAAUAGUGGACAAAGGGCGCAAGCCUGAUCCAGCCAUACCGAGUGGGUGAAGAAGGCCUUCGGGUUGUAAAGCCCUUUUGUUGGGAAAGAAAAGCAGCAGGUUAAUACCCCGCUGUUCUGACGGUACCCAAAGAAUAAGCACCGGCUAACUUCGUG
rnacentral:rRNA from 1 species